rnacentral:rRNA from 1 species
UACCGGCAGCUCAAGUGAUGACCGAUUUUAUUGGGCCUAAAGCGUCCGUAGCCGGCCACGAAGGUCCAUCGGGAAAUCCGCCAGCUCAACUGGCGGGCGUCCGGUGGAAACCACGUGGCUUGGGAUCGGAAGGCUCGAGGGGUACGUCCGGGGUAGGAGUGAAAUCCUGUAAUCCUGGACGGACCACCGAUGGCGAAAGCACCUCGAGAAGACGAAUCCGACGGUGAGGGACGAAAGCUAGGGUCUCGAACCGGAUUAGAUACCCGGGUAGUCCUAGCCGUAAACGAUGCUCGCUAGGUGUGGCACAGGCUACGCGCCUGUGCUGUGCCGUAGGGAGCCGUGAAGCGAGCCGCCUGGGAAGUACGUCCGCAAGGAUGAAACUUAAGGAAUUGGGCGGGGGAGCACUACAACCGGAGGAGCCUGCGGUUU